CCCUAUGGGGUGCAGCAGGCGCGGAACCUCUACAAUGCACGCAAGUGUGAUAGGGGGAUCCCAAGUGCUCAAGCAUUGCUUGGGCUUUUGCUAAGUGUAAAUAGCUUGGCGAAUAAGUGGUGGGAAAGACUGGUGCCAGCCGCCGCGGUAACACCAGCGCCACGAGUGGCAAUCACGUUUAUUGGGCCUAAAGCGUCCGUAGCAGGUUCUGAAAAUCUCUUGUGAAAUUGUCUCGCUCAACGGGACAGUGUGCAGGAGACACUCCAGAACUCGAGACCGGGAAGGGUAAGAGGUAUUCCUGAGGGAGCGGUAAAAUGCUAUAAUCUCAGGAGGACCACCUGUGGCGAAGGCGUCUUACUAGAACGGAUCUGACUGUGAGGGACGAAAGCUAGGGGAGCAAACCGGAUUAGAUACCCGAGUAGUCCUAGCCGUAAACGCUGUGAGCUAGGUGUUGCGUAUUCUACGGGAAUGCGCAGUGUCGAAAGGAAGCUAUUAAGCUCACCGCCUGGGAAGUACGGUCGCAAGACUGAAACUUUAAGGAAUUGGCGGGGGCGCACCACAAGGGGUGCGGCGUGCGGUUUAAUCUAACUCAACACAGAGAACCUCACUAGGAGCGACGGCAGGAAGAAAGUCAGUCUAAAGGGCUUACCUGACGAGCCGAGAGGUGGUGCAUGGCCAA
rnacentral:rRNA from 1 species